rnacentral:rRNA from 1 species
GGAGUUAGCCGGUGCUUCUUCUGUGAGUGAUGUCCUUCCUGCCGGUUAUUGACCCGCAGGCCUUCUUCCUCACUGAAAGUGCUUUACAACCCGAAGGCCUUCUUCACACACGCGGCAUGGCUGGAUCAGGGUUGCCCCCAUUGUCCAAUAUUCCCCACUGCUGCCUCCCGUAGGAGUCUGGGCCGUGUCUCAGUCCCAGUGUGGCUGAUCAUCCUCUCAGACCAGCUACGGAUCGUCGCCUUGGUGAGCAGUUACCUCACCAACCAGCUAAUCCGACAUAGGCUCAUCCGAUAGCGCGAGGCCCGAAGGUCCCCCGCUUUCCCCCGUAGGGCGUAUGCGGUAUUAGCCUGGGUUUCCCCAGGUUAUCCCCCACUACCGGGCAGAUUCCUAUGCAUUACUCACCCGUCCGCCGCUCGCCACCAGGGAGCAAGCUCCCCGUGCUGCCGCUCGACUUGCAUGUGUUAGGCCUGCCGCCAGCGUUCAAUCUGAGCCAGAAUCAAACUCUGA